AACGAACGCUGGCGGCGCGCCUAAUACAUGCAAGUCGAGCGAGAAGACGUAGCAAUACGUUUGUAAAGCGGCGAACGGGUGAGGAAUACAUGGGUAACCUACCCUCGAGUGGGGAAGUAACUAGCCGAAAGGUUAGCUAAUACCGCGUACGCUCCUUGGACUUCGGUUCAGGGAGGGAAAGCGAUACCGUGGGUAUCGCGCUCUUGGAUGGGCUCAUGUCCUAUCAGCUUGUUGGUGAGGUAACGGCUCACCAAGGCUUCGACGGGUAGCUGAUCUGAGAGGACGAUCAGCCACACUGGCACUGCGACACGGGCCAGACUCCUACGGGAGGCAGCAGUAAGGAAUAUUGCGCAAUGGGCGAAAGCCUGACGCAGCGACGCCGCGUGGGGGAG
rnacentral:rRNA from 1 species